rnacentral:rRNA from 1 species
GGUUGCGAUCAUACCAGCACUAAUGCACCGGAUCCCAUCAGAACCCCGUAGGUAAGCGUGCUUGGGCGAGAGUAGUACUAGGAUGGGUGACCCCCUGGGAAGUCCUCGUUUUGCAACCC